rnacentral:rRNA from 1 species
GAGUGAACGGGAAGAGCUCAGCGCUGAAUCUCUUUGCUGUAAUGGUAAAGCGAACUGUAGCGUCUAUUGAUUAAUAUUCCAUAAUCUAUAGAAUCUUAAGUUCUCUUUGACUAGAGUUCCAUAGAAGGUGAUAGACCUGUUAAGAUUUUUUAUAUUUUAUGGUUAUUUUAUGCUUUGAGUCGGGUUGUUUGGAAACACAGCCCAAAGUAGGUGGUAAACUUCACCUAAAGCUAAAUAUAUGUAUGAAUCCGAUAGCAAACAAGUACCGUGAGGGAAAGUUGAAAAGAACUCUGAAGAGAGAGUUAAAUAGUACGUGAAACUGAAUGAGUGGAAGCGUAUAGAGUUGUCGAAAGAUGGUAAUAAUAAGUUUUAUGGAAAUGUAACGGUCUGUAAAAUGUUUUCGUAUGAUUCAUUUUAUGGUUGCAGUUUAUUUUUGUAAAAUGCACUUGUUGCCAUUGUGCUGAUACAAUUGAUUGAGAUUUUUGAGAUUAUAUUAGAGGGCAUAUCUUCGGAUGUGUAUCCUGAUAUAAUGGAAAAGAUUUUUGGUUAAUUGUCCUUUAAUGAUUAAAAGAUGGAUUAUAUUUUAUCAGGCUUAAGAGUUAACGCGUGCGUUGGCUUUUUUGUUUGGUUUUGUAUAGUUUUUAUGAUAGUUAUUAAAUAUCAGUAUAAAAGACAAUCACCUAUAUGUCCCGUCUUGAAACACGGACCAAGGAGUUUAUUGUAUGUGCGAGUCAUUAAGUGAUCAAAACUUAUUGGCGUAAUGAAAGUAAAGCAAGUUUUUGACUUGUGAUAUAUGAUUGUUUUUUCUUCGGAAUAACAAGCAGUAUAGUCCCAUUUAAUUUGCUUGCAAAUGGGUGGAGAUAGAGCAUAUGCAAUGAGACCCGAAAGAUGGUGAACUAUACCUGAGCAGGAUGAAGUUAAAGGGGACUCUGAUGGAAGUCCGAAGCGGCUCUGGCGUGCAAAUCGAUCGU